rnacentral:rRNA from 1 species
GGUGCAAGCGUUAAUCGGAAUUACUGGGCGUAAAGCGUGCGCAGGCGGUUUUGUAAGUCUGACGUGAAAUCCCCGGGCUUAACCUGGGAAUUGCGUUGGAGACUGCAAGGCUGGAGUCUGGCAGAGGGGGGUAGAAUUCCACGUGUAGCAGUGAAAUGCGUAGAGAUGUGGAGGAACACCGAUGGCGAAGGCAGCCCCCUGGGUCAAGACUGACGCUCAUGCACGAAAGCGUGGGGAGCAAACAGGAUUAGAUACCCUGGUAGUCCACGCCCUAAACGAUGUCUACUAGUUGUCGGGUCUUAAUUGACUUGGUAACGCAGCUAACGCGUGAAGUAGACCGCCUGGGGAGUACGGUCGCAAGAUUAAAACUCAAAGGAAUUGACGG